rnacentral:rRNA from 1 species
UACGAAGGGUGCAAACGUUGCUCGGAAUUAUUGGGCGUAAAGCGCACGUAGGCGGCUUAGCAAGUCGGAAGUGAAAGCCCUUGGCUCAACCAAGGAAGUGCUUUCGAAACUGCUAAGCUUGAGUAGUUAAGAGGAUCGCGGAAUUCCCGGUGUAGAGGUGAAAUUCGUAGAUAUCGGGAGGAACACCAGUGGCGAAGGCGGCGAUCUGGGAACAUACUGACGCUGAGGUGCGAAAGCGUGGGGAGCAAACAGG